rnacentral:rRNA from 1 species
GAUUCAUGGCUCAGGAUGAACGCUGGCGGCAUGCCUAAUACAUGCAAGUCGAACGAGAGGAAGGAAAGCUUGCUUUUCUGAAUCUAGUGGCGAACGGGUGAGUAACACGUAGGUAACCUGCCCAUGUGCCCGGGAUAACUUCUGGAAACGGAUGCUAAAACCGGAUAGGUAGCAGACAAGCAUUUGACUGCUAUUAAAGUGGCCUUGGCCAUGAACAUGGAUGGACCUGCGGUG